GACCCCCUGAACUACCUUAAUCAUAAAUGUUAUUAUCAUGAUUAUGCAAACUCAACAGACAUUGUAGAAUGAAAACUCUUUUUUUAUGAUACAUACUGACUGUAGAAAAAGAAUGUUUGUGGAAAUUUAACAAAUACAGUAGCAUACUACCAAAAGAAAUGAUUGGAAUAUUCAUUCAAAGGUCACAACAAAUCUGGAACCCACACCCAACAAGCUCUGAAUAGCCCAGAUAUAAAUAUAUAAUCAAUCAAGCUGCAUAUAUGUUGAGAUAGUAAAUUUUACUUUUUUCCCACUUUUAAAAAAAAUGUUUAAAAU
rnacentral:lncRNA from 1 species